rnacentral:lncRNA from 1 species
UUUGAACACUAUCUCUUUGGACUGUUCUCACUAUCUCUUUCUAUUAUUCUCUCUCUUCAACUUUCACUAACUUAAGCAUCAAAGGAUCCUCCAUCGGAGAACCUCCAUCUUCUUCUCUGGUGUGUGCGGAUUUUUUUUGUAGGUGAUCGAGAUUUUGAUUAGCACUAGCCUAUUCUAGUAGGAUGAAGGAUCCAAGCUGUUAUAUCC